GCCAGCAAUAACUACAAUCAGAACCAGAGGCUUCCAGACAGCAAUACUGGCUGCCAAGCAUCAGUAAAACUGCCAACAGAACAUCUAAGGGGGUCUGGUAGGGUAAAAGCCCCCAAAAAUCAAGUUUGCAAUUUUGGCACAGAAAAAUCUACUGCACUAAAAAUGAACAAACCUGCGAAAGCGCGACCUCAAGCGCCCACUCAAAGCGGUUCAAAUGUCAUGCCGAAGUGUGCCGUGCGCCCUAGCAUUUAAAAAUGGCAGGCGGAGGCCAGUUUGUUUAUCGUUAUCGUUCGCGGUUUUCUUCGUUAUGGCUUUCUUUUUUUUUUGCUUGUGUGUGUGUCUAUGGUAAGUAAAUGAUUUGUACUAACUAAUUAUAUAUUAAUUAAAAGAAAAUGAGACGUUCACCCAAUCGUAGCAAUUGCCACAGAGGAAUCCCAUACGGGUUCCUCGAAUGAAAAGCAUCGCAGUUGAUGAAAAAUUCAUCCUGGUCCAGGGCUCGAACCUGGGACCACCGCCUUUCUUGGGGCAGCCGUUCUAUCAUCUGAGCUAAUUAGGCGGCUAGCAGAUGGCAGGGCGAAGUCGAAUUUGUUAACAGCUCGAAGCAAGAGUUUGACGUAAUAGCCCUUUGCAGAAAAGAACUAUUACGUCAAACUCUUGCUUUUGUUUACGUGGUCGUGGUCACCUCCGUUUUGAGUUUCGAACGUAUUACUUGCCCAGAAGAUGGCACGAUUGUCCAGCAAAUGGAACAAAAAGAGAACUUUCAAAGAUAAUCGGUCUUGUGAGCAAAUUUUUUUCAUGGACGAACACAGAAUACCAACGAGUCGCGCAACCAACUCAUCUGGUGCCGAUGCCCUAAGAAAACUUUGUCAGUGCUUACACAUUGAAGACAGCAAUUAACAGUGCUGUAGCCUACUACGAUGACGGUAAUUCUUCACGAAAAGUUGUUCUGGAGGCCCUUGGUCCGCUCCAGAUCUGUUUUGUAAUACUGCCCUCGACAGGAUGAACAAAGAGCGUGUUGACAGGGCAGAAUUCUUUGCCCCCAUCGAAAAGUGGCUGCCGUGGCCAGGAUUCGAUCGCGCGACCUCAUGCUUAGCAGCCCAACACCAUAGCCACUAAGCAACCACGGCGGUAGAAAAUUCAAAGCUGUCUACAAAGUAGUCGCAUAACCAUGUCACAUAACUUGCAAAUAUAAAGCAUGUCUGCACUGUACUUCUUUCCUAGCAGGACCUUUGCAGUACUUGUGUAACCAAUGCGAUGCAAGCUUAAACCAAAUACAUAUUUCCUACUUUAACCAAUCCAAGAGAUACUCUCUAUAGAAUUGCAAUAUCCAUUUGUGGUACAGUGCGACGAUGUUGUAAACCUUUCAUUUCAGAUUUGUAACAAAUUUUGUAAAUAAUUUGAUUUCCUAACUUGACAUUCUAUUCCAGUCACUUAGCCUUCUUAAAGGGACACUAAAGAGAAAAACAAUUUGAGGUGAACUAUUAAACUACCCUUGCACAAUACCAAAACACCCUCCUUUAUCGCGAGAGGAGGUUUGCUAAGCCAGAAAAGACGAAAAAACAAAAGGCUGGUGGUGACAUCACCCAUCUUGGCAAGUUUCAAGAGCUUUUGUUGAGCCACGAGAAUGGUUCAAAUGCAAUAAAACACUUUGAAGUCUGUGAUGUCACAUUGACAUACUGGCGCUUGGGUUUCGGUGCGAAAUUCUGAAAAUGAAACUUUGGCCUUUAUUUAUUCUUCUACUAAUCAAGCUGUUUCUGCAAAAUUAAAUAUUAUUGAGUUCUUAAAGAAUACUUUGUCAGUUUAACCUGACGGAGUUUCUCUUUAGUGUCCCCUUUGAAGCAAAAAAUUAAAAUACAUUCGAUGGUUGUCUAACAAGAGCAUUUCUGUGUUCCACGUUUUAAAUAGGGAAAUCAGAGUUAGCCUAGAGCCGAAGCGUUCUCUUAGCUGGGCAUUUCUUAACUAAUGCUUACACUGAUCUUUUCAGUUCACACAACAAGAACUAGCACAUGAGCAACGAAUGCAGACAACAGGUUCAUGAACACAGGACCUACGACAUUCAAAAGAUAAAAUGGUCAGGUUCAACAUAAACACAUUUUCUGAAUUCUGCUAGCAAGAGCCUUCAGGAGUGCUUGAAGUGAUAUGAGCAAAAAAAUUUUUUUGUUGAUUUCAAAGCGUUCUUCCAGUUCAUGUCACAGUGCCAGCUUUCAUUUGUAACACCAAAGUAAGCACUAGAGCUUUACUGUAGCAUUCUUUUAAUAUUAUGAAGACAUAUGAGAAUGCAUGCAGAUGACCAGCCACCACAUCUACGAUUCAUCAUGAUAAGAGUGGUUGUCACAGCAGAGUUGUAUAAAUAUUGACAGCCACACAUUCAAGCCUUAUUGCUAACAUUUGUAAUAUUCAUGCAGAAUGAGCAAUACUUUCCUAAAGACAAACGUAGCACCUCAAUACCAAGCAAAUCAUGGCUCAAAGUGCAACUUAAAGGCCAUAUAAACUGCAAGCGAGGGCGAAAACUAUAACCAAAAGCAAGUUUCCAAUACAUUCUGAAAAGCAUGACAUCGCAUGCAGUAUUAUAAAGAGAAACUACUUAACAGGCAGGAUUAAUAAAGCUUACAAGCAAGAGCUUGUAAAUAUGGUGCUUUUACUACGGUCUAUUGCCUCCAUAUGUUAUUUGAGGCAUGUUACUGAGCACUAAUAUUCACUAGGAUGUCUUGUUUGCUUCCCUACAGACAGCACUGCAGUUUAAUAGGACCACGGUCACUAUAUGUUCUCAAAGAAGUACCAUUUUAUUGCAAUAGUAAAUGUACAAAAACUAGAGAGCAGCACUUUGCGCCAUCAUGAUUGUCGUGCUGACCUGCUAUCAACAACGCAUGUGCGGCCUGCAUGUGGAGGAUUGGAAGGUUUCCAGAGAUGCCAAGUAUGUUUGGAAACGAACACACCCUUGCACUCUAGUCAAUAAGAUCUGUGGGAGCCAGGGCAACAUUCUGGCCUCCACUGUUGGCACGAGUGUUGUGCACACACACAGCGUUCUCUUUGAGCAGCCAUGUCCAUACCACACAGUGGUGAACGUCAAGCUAAAUUAUGUAAUCCUUUUUUUGGAACACUGACCAAUGCCAAUGGUUUUCCUUCAGUCUCGUCUCGUGCACCGCCGAAGUCCUACACCACUGGUACACUCAUCAUGCCAGCAUUACCAGUGCCUUCCACUUACCACUGCCUUCACAUACUUUUCGCUCACACUUUGUUCCCUUAGCGAGUUGCUGACAAAAAGGUUUGAAACGUCCCAAGCGACUCUAAUUGGCGACAAUAAAUUCCAAGGUCAUAGGAGGCUGAAAUAGGCAAUAACAGAGGAAGUAGCACUGCUCCUAACAUGAAGGGUUCUCAAAGUGGACAUUUUACUUAGGCUGCAGAGUUAAAACAAAACAAAAAAUGAACACCAGAAUGGUUACUCAUGUCCAGGCCAUCACCUGUAAACACUAGUGCAAUCUGAUGUAGGUGUCCUAUAAUAAUAGUAGUGUAUGCUGAAGCUCACGAACACACUGCUUAUCUUUCAAGCAGCAGGCUUUCCCCAUGAUCUCUGUGAAGGUAAAUUUGAGUACUUCACGUUUGCAAUGGGAGCCAACAUACUGGGACACUCCUAUAACCUAACGAUUCCCUAUCCCAUGCCAGUCAUGAAGCACCAUUGUGUAAAGAAAAAUUCACUGCCACAUCUAGCAUGUCAUGAAGGUCAACCUUACCACUUCCGCAUGCAAAAUCUUACAGCUGCAGCAUGAGUGAUCACGCACUCUCCAUUUUCCUUCAGCCUUCAUAAUUACCUUACGCAACUCACCAUGCCAAAUGGUCCCUUGCACAUCAAAGCCCGAUGGCAAAAAGGUACGCCAAAAAUCAGGUUUACGCUUAAACUAUGAAUUACGCACACUUACAUUUACAUAGAACCGCAGCGAGGGCGCAACAUCCUGCCGACCAUUGAGCAACUAACCUUUUCAAAUGUCACGCACCUUUCCAUUUAUUUGCGACACAGCAGCAAGAAUGCGGCCCACAUUCCUGCGAGGGAAUCAGUUUUGUUCGCAAUGAAACGACAGCAAACGAUUUCGGUGGCUGAGCAACACGCGAUAUUUAUUUGGCACAAAGAAGUUGAGCAGUUUCUAACAGAUAGCGACGGACUUGGCAAUGGUGAUUGCCUUGGGACGCGCAAUAACCUCGCGACUGCCCAGAGGGUGGCCCUAGUUGCAGUUACAUAGCGGAACUGACGCUGCUUCCAAAAAAGAAUCGUCUACGUCGUUUCGGGAGGCGGCGACAGCGGCAGGCGCGUUUUCUUGCACGCGCUGGCCCAGAUCUUCAAAACGCGCGAAAGAGAAAACACACAAGUAGCAGAGGUAGCAGAGGUCACGUGCACGAUGCGUGAAUGUGCAACUUAAGCUGCAAUGACUGCGACCUAAACGCGGUCGCGUCUACAUAGCUGAAAAGCCAUGUGUUCAUUUGUUAACUAUGAUGCAACCCAUGUUCGCUUCACUGGAAACCUGACAGGCGAUCGGGCAUACAACAGACAUUACAAGUUUCGGCGGAACUCCCGUAAGGCUCUGCAAUUACAGCAGCCAUCUUGCAGAAUUCAGCAUGUCGGUCACUGUGGAUGCCAGGCCGUUUGAGCAAGGCGUUCCGGAUACGUCGCCGUGUACCUUGGCAAGUCCACAACAGGUGGUACACAUCGGUGUCCAGUGCCAGGGUCGUACAGUAGGCGCGAGCGGCGUCGUCAUUGACGAAGCUCUUCCACUUGCAGAGAAAGAAGCAGUAGGCGACGAAGAAGAGCCUGCCGACGUCGUUCUCGAAAGGCAGGCCGAACGUGGAGAGGGUGCUUCCGUCGUCGGCGCGGCGCACAAGGCUGAAGAUGUCCCAGGCCACGCGCAC